rnacentral:misc_RNA from 1 species
AACUGAUACUACCUGCGGGAACCUGCGGAGGGAUCAUUAGUGAACGCCCUCACGGGCUUAUAACUAUUCCAAACCUCUGUGAACCGUGCCCUUCGGGGCUAUUUUACGAACAUGGUGUAAUGAACGUCAUAUAUCAUAACAAAACAAAACUUUCAACAACGGAUCUCU